CCUACGGGUGGCUGCAGUGGGGAAUAUUGGACAAUGGGCGCAAGCCUGAUCCAGCCAUGCCGCGUGUGUGAAGAAGGCCUUCGGGUUGUAAAGCACUUUUGUCCGGGAAGAAAUCUUCCGACCUAAUACGUCGGGAGGAUGACGGUACCGGAAGAAUAAGCACCGGCUAACUUCGUGCCAGCAGCCGCGGUAAUACGAAGGGUGCAAGCGUUACUCGGAAUUACUGGGCGUAAAGCGUGCGUAGGUGGUUCGUUAAGUCUGCCGUGAAAGCCCCG
rnacentral:rRNA from 1 species